ACGUUGUAGAGGACCUCCCCUCGACGCUCGCGCGGCUGGUCGCCAGCCACACGCCCGCACCCCUGCGCCAAACCUAGCCGCCACCGGACGGCCGGAGCUCUUCGGUCGCCACGCCGCCGGAUCGGAAGGAGGAGGCUACGCCGACACGGGCGCACUGCGGCACGCUGGCGAGACUGCCCCCAGCCGCCCACCGCGGGAGGCCAUCCGUCGUCGCCCGUCGCGACGGUCCUCCGCCUCUCGUCGGCUCCUCCCUCUCCCGUCGCCUGUCCAGGAGGCACUCCGCGGAUCCACGCCGACUGCAGCGAGCGCGCGGACUUCCGCCGGACAAGCCUAUUGGUAAUCUUCCAUAUUGUGGAUUUGCCAACAUUGAUCCAAUUGACAUGGAUGCUCCUUAACAAUAUGGGCUGGCAUUGUUUUCAGAUCCACAUGUGCAUCAAGCCGUACUAGUCAUCAAGAAUUCCCCCAAGUCUCCUUGGCAUUCUAUGUGUUGGGAUGCGUCCUGUUGGUAUUGCUAUAAGGAUGGAGAGGGAGGACAGUUCAAAGCUUGUGAGGUUGGUGGGAGGAAUUCCUUUCGCAGGAGAGGGGCAGCCGCAUUGUGCAUUACUACUGGAAGAUGCCACGGGUUAUGGGUACGGAGCGGAGGUUGAGUCACAUGCUCUAGGCGUGUCAAAGGACUUCCAUGGGCUGCAGGGAUGCUGUGGUGUUGAUGGUGGGCACUGGGCAGGUGAUGUUUGCAUGAAAGUUGCAGUUGCGCCGUGAGGUGGUGGAUUGGCUCGAUUCCUUCCUUCCAGCGAAGCCCCUUGCCUCAAGCAUGUCAACAGAGUAUCUCAUAUUGUUGAAGGCAACAGCAAGCGGUGCAAAAGGGAGGACCAUUCCCUUCCUACCACUGUCGCCUGGGGCGGCAGAAUUUCUCCUUGACCUCGAGUUGUUGAUGUUCCCUACAAGAGAAGUUUGGCCAUUUAGAUGACAUGUUGCCAUGAUCAUGUCCAAAUCCAACCAUUACUGCAACUGGCCUUACCUGCAGCUGCAGAGACAGAGCCAACAGGAGUUUCGCCGGUGAUACUGGCAUGCUUCUCCUUCAGUGCAUCCUCUGAAAGAAUUUGCUGAGACUUACCCAACGCUGCAUGUUAUACAAGUAAUGGUCUCAGAUCAAGUGCUUGAUCAAAAUGUGCAUUGCAAAAUUCCAUUUAGAAGCUUUGAAUUACGUACGUUUGAGGUAGCUUAGAGCGAAGGUGAAGAGGAUGUUGAACAGGACAACGUAUCCCAGGAGUGCCCCAACGCCAAUCCAGUACCAUUUUGCCUCAGUGAACAUGCCCCUGGACUUGAGCACAUCAAUUCCUAAGAUAUUGUUGGAGCCCUGGAGAACCUGCAAAAUGGUUUUGACAGUCAGAACUACAGUACCAUGUUAUGCGAAUGACCAAUACUGUUGUCACGGCGGAAACAACAGCUACAUACCCGUUGCCAUUUUUGUCCAAGGAACUCGUUUACGGCAAUGGCGCUCAUGGCAUACUGAAGCGGUGACACCCAGUAGCCCCAGAUCCACCAUUUCUUCACAUCAUCUGUCAUGAACAAGCAAACGAAACCGGUGUCACUAAUCUUCUCUCUGAAAUUUACAUUUCAACUACCAAGUGAAAAAUGUUUUUCAGGGGCAUUACGAUGUGACAGGACGAAUCCACUGAGCACCAGCAUCACAAAAAGUGCAAAGGACGCCAGCGUAUUUGCAACAACCAUGGUCCGGCCCAGUGCUGCAAUAAACCUGAACAUUGCUGCAGCCAUCUGGUUGACAAGCAACAGAAGCAAGUACUGCUUGAACAGCCUGCAAGAAAACAGCAAGAUAAUUAAUAUUGGUACCUACUUGUCUGUGAUGUUCUUUUUCUUCCUCCAGAACUAGGACAGCAAGACGUAUGGUUUAACUGUUAGUCUGCCACAGUAAGAGGAUAUUUGACGCGUACCUUCCAACAUCUGGGUCAAACCCAAUGACAUAGUAACCCAGGAAUACUGUGAUGGAGACCUCGACACAAGAUAUCGGUAUCUUGAGAAUCCAAGUUGGUAUGGCGUAAGCCCAUGCAGGGAAGAAGAGGUAAUCUCUUUGCUUGAAGAAGACCGGCAAUUUUAUGGUGGCCAUAGCGAGCUCGGAGAAACCGUUGAACAUGUGGGCAACUAGAGCAAAGAACAGAGCACCCAUGAAGACAAUGCCGUCGUUAACCUUACCAUGGUGCAUGUUUGUGCGCAGGAACAGUGUCAUCACGAUUGUUGUCAUCACCAGAAGCUGCAGAGGUAGUGCCAUCAAUCAAUCAAUCUCUUAUAAGUAUGAAGAUUUGCCUGAACUGAAAUGGGAGGCUUUACCUGGAAAGCCCGGAAACGGUAGACAAACAUAUUCCUUUUCAUGAGCAACCACUCCCUCUCGACGCAUGCGCGCAGCAGCUCCAUCUUGCUGGCACCGUACGGCUUGGUCGUCAGUGAAGCAGGGUGGCACUGGCUCCUGUCAAAAGGACGAGACAGCUCCGCAGAUAGACUUUGGCCAACAUGAAAUGCCUGGAAUGCACGAGCAAACUCCUUGACUGGGACGUAUUGGUAUCUCCGGUCAUUCCUUGCCCAGUAUUGUGGCUGAUCUUUUCUUGAUGUCACCUGUAAGUUAAUUUCGCUGGUGUCAGUAACCAAAAUUGUGAAGUGACCAACAUCAUGAGGCUUGGAAAUUAGUAAACUUUGACAAAGCAUUUGAGCUGACUUACUUCUUGCAAAAAGUCGGCGACCCCCUUCCGGUCGGGACAUUUGAAGCCCAUGAGUUCGAAGAACUCAAGCACAUGUUCACGUGGCCCUUGAUACACAAUGUGACCAUCCGACAAGAGGAUUAUGUCAUCAAACAAAUUAUAUGUUUCUGGUGCAGGUUGCAGCAAGGAAAUGACAGUCGUGCCACCGAGGAUGUUGGUGAUUAGUCCAAGUGAUUUCACUAUCUGGUAUGUGGUAGAGCUAUCUAGGCCAGUGGAGAUUUCAUCCAUGAACAGUGCUCUUUCCGCCCCGACCAUCAUCUCGCCUUCAGAAAAUUUCAAGUAACCAAGGGUCAGCAAAUGCUCAGAUCUCAUAUUCUGCUAUGAUAACGAGAUGAGAUGUUCAUGGAAAUUUGUAUAGUGUACAACAGGAUAAGCAUGAGAAGUAUAUGUUGUGGUUCCAGAAAAACUCUUGGCAAUGAUAUGUUCAAGAAAUUUG